GAUGAACGCUGGCGGCGUGCCUAAUACAUGCAAGUCGAGCGAACAGACGAGGAGCUUGCUCCUCUGACGUUAGCGGCGGACGGGUGAGUAACACGUGGAUAACCUACCUAUAAGACUGGGAUAACUUCGGGAAACCGGAGCUAAUACCGGAUAAUAUAUUGAACCGCAUGGUUCAAUAGUGAAAGACGGUUUUGCUGUCACUUAUAGAUGGGUCCGCGCCGCAUUAGCUAGUUGGUAAGGUAACGGCUUACCAAGGCGACGAUGCGUAGCCGACCUGAGAGGGUGAUCGGCCACACUGGAACUGAGACACGGUCCAGACUCCUACGGGAGGCAGCAGUAGGGAAUCUUCCGCAAUGGGCGAAAGCCUGACGGAGCAACGCCGCGUGAGUGAUGAAGGUCUUCGGAUCGUAAAACUCUGUUAUUAGGGAAGAACAAAUGUGUAAGUAACUAUGCACGUCUUGACGGUGCCUAAUCAGAAAGCCACGGCUAACUACGUG
rnacentral:rRNA from 1 species